rnacentral:tmRNA from 1 species
GGGGUCGACUGGUUUUGACAGCAAGACCAAUUGAUCGGUAAGCACGUCGUGAAGGCAGCAAUUCACGUUAAUCCCAAGCUGCAACACUUUUACACGGCGAGAAUAACUACGCUUUGGCUGCUUAAUCUGAAUAAAGUAAGAUUAAUCCACGUUCCUACCAGGUAGGAAGGCUGAAUUCUCCUGGAAAGCCCUGGUUUGUGGCGUUCCGUCAAGGAGAACCGUAAAAAUAAACCUAGAUUGUUCUUUGCUCCGCGGGACUUUCGAAAUUUAAGGAGAUAAGUGUUUCGUGGCUGUUUCCUGGCCAAGCGUGACAUCGAAAAUCCAAUCGGGAAAUAAGCGUGUAGAAAGCCCAUUAGUUGCUUGUUUGGACCCGGGUUCGAUUCCCGGCGAUUCCACUG